rnacentral:lncRNA from 1 species
CACAAUAGGCAGUAGCAAGACAGCAAACGCCACUUCAAGACUGAAUUUCUGAAACUGGCCCUUUAGCUGAGAGUGGCCAUCCUUGCCGGGGCGGGCGAUUUACUAGUUUACUAACAUUGUUACCAGGCAGCAGCCCUGGCAGCAUUUUACUAAAUCCUCAACAAGAAAACUCGCAACUCGUCUGAAGUUUCAGUUUGUUUGUUGUUACUGGAGUUAUAUCAGGGAGUUCUUUUCUAUGCCAGACUGGAGUUCAGAUUUAAAUCUUGCCCAACUCAAAAGCAAGCGCACAGGAAACACGAACCUCGCCGCCGUGAGAGCAGCCUGAGUGAGCCAGCACUCACCAAGGAAAGGGCUGCAGGUUCGCUUGAGAGUGAGGAUCAGCCGAAUUCCUCACGCUGCUCACUGAGACUUCCCCUCACUGAGACUUCACGCUCCUCACUGUCGGCUAUCGGCCGACAGAAGAUCUCACAUCCAAGUCACAAAGACUCAGAACCUUCUUCAACAAGAAACGUCACUUACAACGUGUUUGCUUCUCCAUCUCUAAGCUCAAAGUGCCCCGUUUCUCUACAGCAAAUUAGACUUUUUGCCUACUUUGGUGCUGAGAAGCCCAAACUACCAACCAAAGCUUUGGUUUUCUCUGAGGGCUGUCGGUACAGACGAGAGGCCGGGAUUGUUCUCUAGCAACCCCUGCCGGUUGACAAUAAAUGCCAGAAACUGACCCAGAGGCAUUAGUUCAUCCCCACGUUGGAGGGAAGUAAAAAAUGUCAGGCUGAGGGAGAGCAGGUAGCACCUGAACGGAUACGUCCGUGACCCAACUUCAACCAACCACGCAACGUCAAUGACCCAGGGGAUGCUGGAGCAACAGGAAGGAAGGAAUUGAUUGAACAAUCACGUGGAGCAAAGCCACGUUGUUAUUUAGGGCUACUACUUAAAUCAGAGAUCAUCUCUGUCUUCUUUAAGCCACUUCAGUUUGGAGGCUUUUUGUUCUAACAGAUUUUCUAUGCAGGUACAGUCACAUUUAUGUCUUUUAAUAAUAGAGUUCAUCCAUCAUACAAGAUUGAUGAUCCCUGCAGAAGUUAAAAGUCUAGGAAUAAGAAAUUUGCACUUUAAAGAAGUCUUUCCUUUGUCUUACGGCUUCCAGAAUUCCUGAUGAGGAGUCUGCUAUCAAUCUUAUCUUGUGGCUUUGAAGUGAUAAUGUCAUUCUCACCUGUAAUCCCAGCACUUUGGGAGGCUGAGGCC